rnacentral:sRNA from 1 species
UUUCUGAUGUCAUUUAAAAAGAAAAAAAAAAAAAAAAAAAAAAAAAAAAAAAGGAGCUCUGAGCUGCAGCAGGCUGUGUCGAUCGGGUGUCCGCGCUAAGUUCGGCAUCGAUAUGGUGAUCCUGGGGGAGCCCGGGACCACCAGGUCGUCUAAAGAGGGGUGCACCGGCCCAGGUCGGAGACGGAGCAGGUCAAAGCCCCCGUGCUGCUCAGCAGUGGGAUCGCGCCUGUGAAUAGCAGAGGUGGGACCAAGUCAUUGUUUU